rnacentral:rRNA from 1 species
UACGUAGGGUGCAAGCGUUUGUCCGGAAUUAUUGGGCGUAAAGAGCUCGUAGGCGGUCUGUCGCGUCGGCUGUGAAAACUCGGGGCUCAACUCCGAGCUUGCAGUCGAUACGGGCAGGCUAGAGUUCGGCAGGGGAGAACGGAAUUCCUGGUGUAGCGGUGAAAUGCGCAGAUAUCAGGAGGAACACCGGUGGCGAAGGCGGUUCUCUGGGCAUUGACCUGACGCUGGAGGAGCGAAAGCGUGGGGAGCGAACAGG